rnacentral:rRNA from 1 species
UACGUAGGGCGCAGGCGUUAAUCGGAAUUACUGGGCGUAAAGCGUGCGCAGGCGGUCUGCUAAGAGAGGUGUGAAAUCCCCAGGCUCAACCUGGGAACUGCGUCCGAUACUGCUAGUCUUGAGGGCGGUAGGGAGAAGUGGAAUGGCUGGUGUAGCGGUGAAAUGCGUAGAUAUCAGUCGGAACACCGGUGGCGAAGGCGGCUUCUUGGGCCGUUCCUGACGCUGAGGCGCGAAAGCCAGGGGAGCGAACGGG